rnacentral:misc_RNA from 1 species
UCGGCUUUCAUUCUCAUUUUCCAGUUCCAAAAACGUCGAAUCACGACGACAUUUAGAUCUGGAUUUGAUUGAUUCAAGUAUGAGGUUUCUACAGUCACUCUCACCAGCAUAGUAUAUCUGUAGGCAAACAACAACGUUUAAAUUUGCAACCAUGUCAAGGAGGCCGGGGAACUUCCCCUCUCGGCGAGACAACGGAGGCGCUUUCUUCGCCUUCAAUGGCAAGUCGCGCAAUGCCCCCUAUUUCCCAAUUUUUCUUAUUGUCCUGGGUGCGCUCCUUAUUUUUGCCUAUUUGUACAGGGGCUCAGGAGAAUUUGGUGGUAACAAAUGGGCUCUUAGCAGGAUUGAAGGUGAUUUUGCAUGCACAGUAGAGGUUCAACGGGCAAUUCCAGU